UACGAAGGGGGCUAGCGUUGCUCGGAAUCACUGGGCGUAAAGGGUGCGUAGGCGGGUCUUUAAGUCAGGGGUGAAAUCCUGGAGCUCAGCUCCAGAACUGCCUUUGAUACUGAGGAUCUUGAGUACGGGAGAGGUGAGUGGAACUGCGAGUGUAGAGGUGAAAUUCGUAGAUAUUCGCAAGAACACCAGUGGCGAAGGCGGCUCACUGGCCCGUAACUGACGCUGAGGCACGAAAGCGUGGGGAGCAAACAGG
rnacentral:rRNA from 1 species